rnacentral:rRNA from 1 species
AGUGAACGCUGGCGAUAGGCCUAACACAUGCAAAUCGAACGGCAGCACAGUAAGAGCUUGCUCUUACGGGUGGCGAGUGGCGGACGGGUGAGGAAUACAUCGGAAUCUACUUUUUCGUGGGGGAUAACGUAGGGAAACUUACGCUAAUACCGCAUACGACCUACGGGUGAAAGCAGGGGAUCUUCGGACCUUGCGCGAUUGAAUGAGCCGAUGUCGGAUUAGCUAGUUGGCGGGGUAAAGGCCCACCAAGGCGACGAUCCGUAGCUGGUCUGAGAGGAUGAUCAGCCACACUGGAACUGAGACACGGUCCAGACUCCUACGGGAGGCAGCAGUGGGGAAUAUUGGACAAUGGGCGCAAGCCUGAUCCAGCCAUACCGCGUGGGUGAAGAAGGCCUUCGGGUUGUAAAGCCCUUUUGUUGGGAAAGAAAAGCAGCAGGUUAAUACCCCGCUGUUCUGACGGUACCCAAAGAAUAAGCACCGGCUAACUUCGUG